UACGUAGGGUCUAAGCGUUAAUCGGAAUUACUGGGCGUAAAGCGCACGUAGGUGGUUUGUUAAGUCAGCUGUGAAAUCCCCGGGCUCAACCUGGGCACUGCAGUUGAAACUGGCAAGCUAGAGUAGGGUAGAGGGGUGUGGAAUUCCAGGUGUAGCGGUGAAAUGCGUAGAUAUCUGGAGGAACAUCAGUGGCGAAGGCGACACCCUGGACUCAUACUGACACUGAGGUGCGAAAGCGUGGGGAGCAAACAGG
rnacentral:rRNA from 1 species